GUUUGAUCCUGGCUCAGGAUGAACGCUAGCUACAGGCUUAACACAUGCAAGUCGAGGGGCAGCAUGGUCUUAGCUUGCUAAGGCCGAUGGCGACCGGCGCACGGGUGAGUAACACGUAUCCAACCUGCCGUCUACUCUUGGACAGCCUUCUGAAAGGAAGAUUAAUACAAGAUGGCAUCAUGAGUCCGCAUGUUCACAUGAUUAAAGGUAUUCCGGUAGACGAUGGGGAUGCGUUCCAUUAGAUAGUAGGCGGGGUAACGGCCCACCUAGUCUUCGAUGGAUAGGGGUUCUGAGAGGAAGGUCCCCCACAUUGGAACUGAGACACGGUCCAAACUCCUACGGGAGGCAGCAGUGAGGAAUAUUGGUCAAUGGGCGAGAGCCUGAACCAGCCAAGUAGCGUGAAGGAUGACUGCCCUAUGGGUUGUAAACUUCUUUUAUAAAGGAAUAAAGUCGGGUAUGGAUACCCGUUUGCAUGUACUUUAUGAAUAAGGAUCGGCUAACUCCGUGCCAGCAGCCGCGGUAAUACGGAGGAUCCGAGCGUUAUCCGGAUUUAUUGGGUUUAAAGGGAGCGUAGAUGGAUGUUUAAGUCAGUUGUGAAAGUUUGCGGCUCAACCGUAAAAUUGCAGUUGAUACUGGAUAUCUUGAGUGCAGUUGAGGCAGGCGGAAUUCGUGGUGUAGCGGUGAAAUGCUUAGAUAUCACGAAGAACUCCGAUUGCGAAGGCAGCCUGCUAAGCUGCAACUGACAUUGAGGCUCGAAAGUGUGGGUAUCAAACAGGAUUAGAUACCCUGGUAGUCCACACGGUAAACGAUGAAUACUCGCUGUUUGCGAUAUACGGCAAGCGGCCAAGCGAAAGCGUUAAGUAUUCCACCUGGGGAGUACGCCGGCAACGGUGAAACUCAAAGGAAUUGACGGGGGCCCGCACAAGCGGAGGAACAUGUGGUUUAAUUCGAUGAUACGCGAGGAACCUUACCCGGGCUUAAAUUGCAGAUGAAUUACGGUGAAAGCCGUAAGCCGCAAGGCAUCUGUGAAGGUGCUGCAUGGUUGUCGUCAGCUCGUGCCGUGAGGUGUCGGCUUAAGUGCCAUAACGAGCGCAACCCUUGUUGUCAGUUACUAACAGGUCAUGCUGAGGACUCUGACAAGACUGCCAUCGUAAGAUGUGAGGAAGGUGGGGAUGACGUCAAAUCAGCACGGCCCUUACGUCCGGGGCUACACACGUGUUACAAUGGGGGGUACAGAGGGCCGCUACCACGCGAGUGGAUGCCAAUCCCCAAAACCUCUCUCAGUUCGGACUGGAGUCUGCAACCCGACUCCACGAAGCUGGAUUCGCUAGUAAUCGCGCAUCAGCCACGGCGCGGUGAAUACGUUCCCGGGCCUUGUACACACCGCCCGUCAAGCCAUGGGAGCCGGGGGUACCUGAAGUGCGUAACCGCGAGGAGCGCCCUAGGGUAAAACUGGUGACUGGGGCUAAGUCGUAACAAGGUAGCCGU
rnacentral:rRNA from 2 species